UGCGUAGACUGUAUGUUAAGUUCGUUGUUAAAUUCUCCGGCCUAACCGGAGGCAAGCAAUGAAAACUGGCGUACUAGAGGGUGGGAGAGAGAAGUGGAAUUCCCGGAGUAGCGGUAAAAUAGCGUAGAUCUCGGGAGGAACACCAAUAGCGAAGGCAGCUUCUUGGCCCAUUCCUGACGUUGAGGCACGAAAGCGUGGGGAGCAAACAA
rnacentral:rRNA from 1 species